rnacentral:rRNA from 1 species
AUUGAACGCUGGCGGCAGGCCUAACACAUGCAAGUCGAACGAGUGGCGGACGGGUGAGUAAUGUCUGGGAAACUGCCUCAUGGAGGGGGAUAACUACUGGAAACGGUAGCUAAUACCGCAUAACAUCAUAUGUGCCCAGAUGGGAUUAGCUUGUUGGUGGGGUAACGGCUAACCAAGGCGACGCUCCCUAGCUGGUCUGAGAGGAGGACCGGCCAAAUGGGAAUUGCGACACGGUCCAGACUCCUACGGGAGGAGGAAGUGGGGAAUAUUGGACAAUGGGCGCAAGCCUGCUGCAGCCAUGCCGCGUGUAUGAAGAAGGCCUUCGGGUUGUAAAGUACUUUGAGCGGGGAGGCGUUACCCGCAGAAGAAGCACCGGCUAACUCCGUGCCAGCAGCCGCGGUAAUUC